rnacentral:rRNA from 1 species
CCCCUAGAUGUUCUGGGCCACACACGCGCUACACUGAAGGAGGCAGCGUGUACUCCUGGAUCGAAAGAUUUGGGUAACCCGCGAAUCUCCUUCGUGCUAGGGAUUGAGGUUUGCAAUUAUCCUUCAUGAACGAGGAAUUCCCAGUAAGUGCAAGUCAUAAGCUUGCGCUGACUACGUCCCUGCCCUUUGUACACACCGCCCGUCGCUACUACCGAUUGAAUGAUUUAGUGAGGACUUCGGACUGGGACCAAUGCGGCUUUCGGGCUGCGUCGGUAUUCUGGAAAGAUGUCCAAACUGUAUCAUUUAGAGGAAGGAGAAGUCGUAACA